GGUUUAUCGCAAACAUAAUUUUUCUUGCGGGCCUGUACCAUUUCAGCCGAAUGUUUCGUCGAAAUCAUUAAAAAUAAUCCUAAUACUGUUUACUAAUAUCUUCUACACGUUUCAACAAUAUAUUCCGCACGUUUUGCCUACGACGAAAUAACGAAAGCGAAUUGUUUGUUGAAAUAAACGAAGCCUUGUUAUAAUAUGUCGCUAUCAACUGUUACCAAGGUGCCACGGUGGUCACCCGUGACCACCAAUAAGAUAAACGGUCCAUCGGGGAAGAAUGUUGUCUUACGUCAUCAAUUUAUCAUUAUUUUGCCAUUAUAUGCUUUGAAUAAUAAAAAUACUCCCGUGUCGUCCUGAGCGAAACACGUGAUUUCGGCGUGGCAGUCAAAGUGUUAAUAAUAUAAAUAUUAUAGAAAUAAUAAUAUUAUAAAUAAUAUACUUUAUAAGCUAGUUAUAAUACUUUUUUCCCCUUCGCAAUCUUACGAUAAAAUAAUUUUAUCACACAGAAUUUAUCGCUCACCUGAUGGACGAUAUCUUAAAGUUACACGAAACAACGGCAAACAUCUUGAUCGAGCAACCUGUGUUUCUUUUCCAAUCUUCUCCAAUCGGAGAUUACUUUCUAGAUAUGCGUCGUAUUUCCAUUGCCAACAUACGGUUAAACGUAUGUCAACAACAUAUGCAAAUACAUAGAUAAACACGUGAAAUAAGAACCGCGUUAAAGAUCUAUGGAUCGGUGGAUCCAAAGACCGUGUAACGGGACGUAACUCGUGAGAAAGAUUACGAAACUCGUAGACGAAUUACCGGGCUGUCUGGUCUGGUCUGGUCUGGUCUCGUUGUUAUAACCGUGCGUGCAUGACGUUGUACGUAUCCGACUGUGGCGAAAGUGCUGGCGGACCGCUAUGGAAAGAAAGCCAGGAAAUAGGUCGAAAACGCGAACCGUUUUCUGCAUAUUUCCCAUAACGAUCGACACACCGGUAUUCCUGGCUGAGUUUCAAGUUGCACGUAAAUAGCUACUCGUGCGACCUUUUUUACCUCGCCUCGCCUCGAUAUCGAUCUGUCCUCGGUUUUCUAACGUUGCACGCGUUUCUUCUACUCUCGGGUUUUUCCGAGAUUGCGGCAGCAAGCUGUUGCACAUAGAUUUUAUCUCGCAGCGAGCGAGAUGCGAAACAAUGACGCUGCCUCUCAUCGCUAAAUUGCCGGUGAUAUACUUGUUUAAUCGUUACUUAAGCAGAUGCUCCAGUUUGGAGUGGUUUUACGUGAAUUUUCUAUUCUUUUAUUUACAACUAUUAGAUUGUCCGGAAAGUUUCUUUCGUUUUAUAAGGAAAUAAUACACGCGCAAUGUUUUUGUUUUAUAUUAGUUUAUUGAAUUAUGCACGAACAUAAUAAUAGAAAUAGAACGAUAUGGUUCAUACUUAAUUUAGUAAAAUAAUAUGAAACAGAAAUUGUUGCUCAUCUAUUAUCAGCUUAUGAAACGAAAGAAACUUAAUUGUUAGUAGUAGGUAAUUGUUAGUCUUCGCUGAUAAUUAGGAAGAUUAGAUCAUUGCGCAAAUAUUGCGUUCCUUUUGAAGAUCGUACGUUAGGUGAAAAUUGUAUACAACUAUUUAUUGAUAAUCGAUCGAUAAUUUGAAUAUACAUAGGAAGAAACACAAACGGAAAAUAAAUAAGGUAAAAGGAAAGCUCGUGGUGUUCGUAGCUUUCCGUUUUCUAUUCGAUUUCUACGGGUGUCGCAACCACCCGUAUUCUCGCGUUUCUUUCGCGAAAUUCGAUUGGGACGCGCUAUGAAACGAGAUUGUGGUUCGCCGAUCGCAAACUAAACGCAAUGGUACGCGAUGCUUACCGUGUGUUUAACACUAGCACUACCGAUAGUUAACACGAAGAUAUUUCUAUCAAAACCAGUGAAAACGACUGGUGUUUAAAAAAUACCUAAUAAUACAAUAUUUUUAUAUUUAUUGAUUUAUUACUCUCUUACGGAAGGAAUUCCAUGUUAUAUAGUGCAUUUUUAGUAUUAUUAAUCCAUCUGGGGCCAGUCAUAAACCAGUCAUUUUGACUGGUGUGGUGUUUCUAGUGUUAGCAUCUAGCGAUUCAGCGAUCGAUUCGGAAUUUUCCUGAUAACUGAUAUCGUCAUAUCGAAAAAUUUGAAAAACGUAUGGCAAGUUGUAGAAAAUGGGGAAACUGGUUAAUUGGGGUUCAAUAAACAGAUUGCAGCACCCUUUUACACUUUGACAAGUACCAGUCAUUUUCACUGGUAUUGGUAUAAGUAGCCUUGAUGCAAAAUUAUUUUCAGUUUGAAUACAUAAAAAACAAAAUGUUGUUAUUUCUAUACUCAGAGAUAGGAUCGCAACAGGUUAUGGGCCAGGUGCAAUAAUUAGUUAUUAUUUUUAUUGAAAAUAUUAUUAACAGUAAUAAUAUCGAGGAGCGCAGAAUAUAACCAAAAAACAAAAAAAAAAAAGGGGGUGCGUGAUCGAUGAUUCAGUGUUGAAUAUCAUAAGGACGCUGUAUCGAGUAUACAAUAAUUGUUUACGUGAUAAUACAGUUAUCAAAAAAAAAAAAAAAAAUGUCGAG